GUGGGGAAUAUUGGACAAUGGGCGAAAGCCUGAUCCAGCCAUGCCGCGUGUGUGAAGAAGGUCUUCGGAUUGUAAAGCACUUUAAGUUGGGAGGAAGGGUAGUAACCUAAUACGUUGCUACUUUGACGUUACCAACAGAAUAAGCACCGGCUAACUUCGUGCCAGCAGCCGCGGUAAUACGAAGGGUGCAAGCGUUAAUCGGAAUUACUGGGCGUAAAGCGCGCGUAGGUGGUUUUGUAAGUUGGAGGUGAAAUCUCCGGGCUCAACCUGGGAACUGCCUACAAAACUGCAUGACUAGAGUACGGUAGAGGGUAGUGGAAUUUCCUGUGUAGCGGUGAAAUGCGUAGAUAUAGGAAGGAACACCAGUGGCGAAGGCGACUACCUGGACUGAUACUGACACUGAGGUGCGAAAGCGUGGGGAGCAAACAGGAUUAGAAACCCCUUAGUCC
rnacentral:rRNA from 1 species